rnacentral:lncRNA from 1 species
AGAGUUUCUUCGGUCUGUGUGGGUUGUCUUCUGGCCUCAGAGUAUCCCUUAUCAGAACCUUGGGCCCCUGGGCCCCUUCACUCAGUACUUGGUGGACCACCAUCACACCCUCCUGUGCAAUGGGUAUUGGCUUGCCUGGCUGAUUCAUGUGGGAGAGUCCUUGUAUGCCAUAGUAUUGUGCAAGCAUAAAGGCAUCACAAGUGGUCGGGCUCAGCUACUCUGGUUCCUACAGACUUUCUUCUUUGGGAUAGCGUCUCUCACCAUCUUGAUUGCUUACAAACGGAAGCGCCAAAAACAAACUUGAAGUUGUCUGAAAGCUUGCUCUACACUUUUACAUUCAUCCUCACCCUUUUUUUUGUGGGGUAGAGGAGGUGCAGUAAUUUACUCAGUGAUCUUUCUACUUUCUAGAAACUGUCCUUCAAAGCUCUUUAAGACCCCCUCGUUAGUCAGUUUUUUCUCUUAUAUGCUCUGGUUGAGCUUGAAUAGACCAGUUGUUACUUAAGAAAGAAACAGAGAAAGAUUUUAGCUUUUCAAUCCUAUUUGGCAGAGGACUUCAGCUACCUUCUUACAGUCUUUGGCUGUGUUGGUACCCUCGUGUGCUCUGAGCUAAGCCACAUACUAAACUGACUUUUUGGUUUGUAUACCCUUGCUCCCGCCUUCUGAUGAAAACACCUUACCCUCACAACCACCAUCUUUCCUCUCCUUUCCAAAGCUCUUUC